AGUGAACGCUGGCGGCAGGCCUAAUACAUGCAAGUCGAACGGCAGCACAGCAGAGCUUGCUCUGUGGGUGGCGAGUGGCGGACGGGUGAGUAACGCGUGGGAACGUGCCCUGAGGUACGGAAUAACUGCGGGAAACUGCAGCUAAUACCGUAUGAGCCCCUAACGGGGAAAGAUUUAUCGCCUUGGGAGCGGCCCGCGUCGGAUUAGCUAGUUGGUGGGUAACGGCCUACCAAGGCUUCGAUCCGUAGCUGGUCUGAGAGGACGAUCAGCCACACUGGGACUGAGACACGGCCCAGACUCCUACGGGAGGCAGCAGUGGGGAAUCUUGCGCAAUGGGGGCAACCCUGACGCAGCCAUGCCGCGUGAAUGAUGAAGGCCUUAGGGUUGUAAAGUUCUUUUGCCCGUGACGAUGAUGACGGUAACGGGAGAAUAAGCUCCGGCU
rnacentral:rRNA from 1 species